rnacentral:rRNA from 1 species
CAACUUUUAACAACGGAUCUCUUGGUUCUCGCAUCGAUGAAGAACGUAGCAAAGUGCGAUAACUAAUGUGAAUUGCAUAUUCAGUGAAUCAUCGAGUCUUUGAACGCAACUUGCGCUCAUUGGUAUUCCAAUGAGCACGCCUGUUUCAGUAUCAAAACA